AACGCGAAGAACCUUACCAACCUUUGACAUGUCCGGUAUGGUCGUCAGAGAUGACUUCCUUCCCGCAAGGGGCCGGAACACAGGUGCUGCAUGGCUGUCGUCAGCUCGUGUCGUGAGAUGUUGGGUUAAGUCCCGCAACGAGCGCAACCCUCGCCCUUAGUUGCCAUCAUUUAGUUGGGCACUCUAAGGGGACUGCCGGUGAUAAGCCGCGAGGAAGGUGGGGAUGACGUCAAGUCCUCAUGGCCCUUACAGGUUGGGCUACACACGUGCUACAAUGGCGGUGACAAUGGGACGCAAUGGAGCAAUCCUGCGCAAAUCUCAAAAAGCCGUCUCAGUUCGGAUUGUGCUCUGCAACUCGAGCACAUGAAGUUGGAAUCGCUAGUAAUCGCAGAUCAGCACGCUGCGGUGAAUACGUUCCCGGGCCUUGUA
rnacentral:rRNA from 1 species